rnacentral:rRNA from 1 species
UACGUAGGGUGCAAGCGUUGUCCGGAAUUAUUGGCCGUAAAGAGCUCGUAGGCGGUUUGUCGCGUCUGCUGUGAAAUCUGGGGGCUCAACCCCAGCCUGCAGUGGGUACGGGCAGACUAGAGUGCGGUAGGGGAGAUUGGAAUUCCUGGUGUAGCGGUGGAAUGCGCAGAUAUCAGGAGGAACACCGAUGGCGAAGGCAGAUCUCUGGGCCGUAACUGACGCUGAGGAGCGAAAGCAUGGGGAGCGAACAGG